rnacentral:rRNA from 1 species
UGGAGGAAUGUAUAGCAAUAGCUACUUGCAUCAUUGAAAAUAUGAUGCAAGAUCGACUAUGUCGAAUAAAAUUCUAGGUAGAAUUAUGAUAAUGACAUUGUCUGCCUAUGUGUCUUGACCAAAUUACGUGCCAGCAGUCGCGGUAAUACGUAGAAGACUAGUGUUAUUCAUGUUUAAUCGGUUUAAAGGGUACCUAGACGGUAAAUCAAGCCUAAAAGGAAGGAAAUAAAGGGACUAAUUUACUAGAGUUACUUAUGAGGGGGUAUUAAAGUACUGCUGGUGUAGAGAUGAAAUUCUGUCAUACCUCUUUUCAAUAGAAAAAUAAUGGCACAGGUAUAGGCGAAAGCAUCCCCUUAUGUGAUAACUGACGUUGAGGGACGAAGGCUUUGUGUAGCGAACAGGAUUAGAUACCCCAGUAGUCAAAGCAGAAAAUGAUGAAUGUCAUAGAUUAGAUAUAUAAGUUUAUUCUAUAAAUGAAAGUGUAAGCAUUCCACCUCAAGAGUAAUUUGGCAACAUUGGAACUGAAAUCAUUAGACCGUUUCUGAAACCAGUAGUGAAGUAUGUUGUUUAAUUUGAUAAUCCGCAAAAAACCUUACCACAAUUUGAAUAUUUAUAUUUUUUUUAUUGUUUUUCUUUUUAAUUUUCUUCCGAUUUUCUAGUUAAAGGAAAAUUAGAAGAAAAAGAAAAAAGAGGCAAUAAGAUAUAUUUACAAGCGA